GCGUGCCUAACACAUGCAAGUCGAACGAGAAAGCUCCUUCGGGAGUGAGUAGAGUGGCGCACGGGUGAGUAACACGUGGAUAAUCUGCCUGAUAAUCUGGGAUAACACUUCGAAAGGAAUGCUAAUACCGGAUAAGCCCACAUCCUCUUCGGAGGAAGCGGGAAAAGAUGGCCUCUUCAUGAAAGCUAUUGUUAUCAGAUGAGUCCGCGGUCCAUUAGCUAGUUGGUAGGGUAACGGCCUACCAAGGCAACGAUGGAUAGCUGGUUUGAGAGAAUGAUCAGCCACACUGGAACUGAGACACGGUCCAGACUCCUACGGGAGGCAGCAGUGGGGAAUUUUGCGCAAUGGGGGCAACCCUGACGCAGCAACGCCGCGUGAGUGAUGAAGGUUUUCGGAUCGUAAAGCUCUGUCAGGAGGGAAGAAACCUCAGUAGGCUAAUACCCUAUUGGAUUGACGGUACCUCCAGAGGAAGCACCGGCUAACUCCGUGCCAGCAGCCGCGGUAAUACGGAGGGUGCGAGCGUUGUUCGGAAUUAUUGGGCGUAAAGCGCGUGUAGGCGGUUUGUUAAGUCUGAUGUGAAAGCCCCGGGCUCAACCUGGGAAGUGCAUUGGAAACUGGCAAACUUGAGUACGGGAGAGGGAAGUGGAAUUUCGAGUGUAGGGGUGAAAUCCGUAGAUAUUCGAAGGAACACCAGUGGCGAAGCGGCUUCCUGUACCGAUACUGACGCUGAGACGCGAAAGCGUGGGGAGCAAACAGGAUUAGAUACCCUGAUAGUCCACGCCGUAAACGAUGGGUACUACGUGUUGCGGGUAUUGACCCCUGCAGUGCCGAAGCUAACGCAUUAAGUACCCCGCCUGGGGA
rnacentral:rRNA from 1 species